UACGUAGGGUGCAAGCGUUGUCCGGAAUUAUUGGGCGUAAAGAGCGUGUAGGCGGCCCGACCAGUCCGCUGUGAAAGUCCAGGGCUCAACCCUGGAAUGCCGGUGGAUACUGUCGGGCUAGAGUCCGGAAUGGGCGAGUGGAAUUCCUGGUGUAGCGGUGAAAUGCGCAGAUAUCAGGAGGAACACCGGUGGCGAAGGCGGGUCUCUGGGCCGUAACUGACGCUGAGGAGCGAAAGCGUGGGGAGCGAACAGG
rnacentral:rRNA from 1 species